rnacentral:rRNA from 1 species
CAUGCAUGUUUCCGCAAUCAGGGACGAAUAGCUCAGUAAAACUGCGAUGAUUUAGUCUGGCUGUGUAGAUAACUACGUGAAAAUGUAGCUAAGGGAAGGCAGAAUAAGACGCAGGACUAUCAGUUAGUUGGUAGUGUAAUGGACUACCAAGACAGUGACGGUUGACGGGAAAUUAGGGUUUUGUACCGGAGAGGGAGCCUGAGAGAUUGCUCCCACGUCCAAGGACGGCAGCAGGCGCGAAAAUUGCCCACUCUUUGCAGGAGGCAGUUAUGAGACGUGAAGAUGAGUAUCUUGUAAAGAGGGAUAGGAGAAUUGGAGGGCAAGUUUGGUGCCAGCAGCCGCGGUAAUACCGACUCCAAGAGUGUGUAUGAGAGAUGCUGCAGUUAAAAAGUCCGUAGUCAUAGAAGGGCAAAGAGAGAUGCGAGGUCUCACAGUGCGAUGAUGGAGGAGCCGAUGGGGAACAU